ensembl:lincRNA
AACAGGUGGAAAAUUGGUCUUUAUUAUAGCACAAAAUAAACAUCACCUAUUUGUUCUCUUCGCCGGGGUUUGGACCCACAAUUAUUAGAUUUAAAACAUACUUCUUGUCUCUAGGUUCUUUAUGUAUGUCCACCUUUUUUUUUUUAAGGACCAGAAGAGCAUAAUGGCUAAUUACAUAAAAAUUUAAAAUGUGAUAUGGUAAAUAAAUAGCAUGUGGCAGAACCCAGAGCUCACAUUGGGCUCAACAGAUGCAAAAUAGCUUUCCAUUCAAUAAGGUAAGAUGUACAGUCAUGCUUGGAAUCCCGGAGGUGAAUCUGCCCGGAACAUUUAAUUAUCAUGAUAAAGGCAUGCAAACAGUAGGGGUAGCCCUCUGGGGGGGCCCCACCCAAAUCAGAAGCAUGGAUUCCCACCUGGAGGGAAGAGUCUCGAGUCAAGCACAUAUUUCCCUUUCUUUCUGCCCAUCUUCCCACUCGCUCUCUAGCUCUGUGAGGAGCGCUAGGAGCGCGUCACACAGGACAUUUCUCUAUCUGGAACUCCCUUAGCGCCUGUGCCUGUGCAGCUUGACCCGAAAGUUUCCUGGGUAAAAGUAAAAGCUUUGCGAAGAGGGGGUGGGUGGUGAGGGCUCCUAGGAUAAGCUUUCCAUACCUUGUCGUGAAUUAACUAAGAGCAAUUCCGUAACGCUGUGGGGGCAUGUGCUGGACUGUAAAGUACAGAACCCUUCGCUCGGGUUUGGGCCCUUGAGUUCAGUCUGGAUGUGUGUUGGGCUCCCUAGCGCGUGGGCGUGCCAUGCUGGAGGGGAGAGAAGAGGAAGCAGAGGAACCCCAUGAAGGAGCUUGGGUGGCAUCCAGCCUUGCUUAAGCUCAAGAUUUGGAAGCAGCCUACAUGUGACUAAUUUGCUAUAAAGUAUUUGCCUUUGGUCGUCUCUGUCCUUUCUCCUGGAGGUGACAUAAAUAACUUUGGGCAUUGGUAACAAAGCAAGGCGUGGACUUCUAUGAUACAUGGUACAAAUUCCUUUCUUUUCUCAUUUUGGUACUGGGACUUGAACCCAAGACCUUGUGUAUGCUGGGCAAGAACUCUACUACCAAGGUGCACCUCCAGCCCAAUUUGAAAAAUAACAUCUUGAAGCUGUUGGACAGACCCUACUCACUUGGCUGUGUACAGCCUUCGACUACCCAUCUCUGUAUGUGAAAUAAACCCACGGGGAUGUUUUGCAUCUGGUAAAGGUGGACUCUGAUCCCGAGUUUAUCCUAAAGGAAAAUCUAAAGGCAUUUUUAUCUCCCUGCUCCAUAGAAGAGUGCAUCCCGACAGUCCCCCUUAAGGGUCCCUGCUCUUCUAUAGGGAUAUGAAUGUAGGAAGGAAACAGGGAAGGAGCGCUGUCGAUAAAAGUCAGCUACCAAAUGGAUUCAUUGCAAGGGCUGAUAGUAAAGAUAUCAUUAAGCCAUUCGUGAACUGAUUAAGCUAUCUCUGUAUAUAACGGUCCCUAGGAAGUCCCCCUCCCCCCACCGUCUUCAUUCUGGUGCCACCUUUCCCCACUCGGUAAGUAUUAAGCAUUGCUGUGGGAAGGCAGAUGGCAAAAUGGAAUCUAGUCCUUGUUAAUUAAAAUGAGGGGAAGUUGGACCUUGGAGGUUGGGCCUUAGGUUGCUAAAGGAACCGUGAGUCCUGGAGCUCUAGGAACAACCACGAGCUUCAUCUCUCUUAGAUACAUUGUAUCCUGCUUCCCCUCUAAACUAGAGGAUGUUGGGGGAAUGGCUAGGAGCCACUCAUCCCGUCCUGUCUUUUGUAAAAGUUAAGUCUAUGGCAGCAAACUAAGGUCCUGCCAGGCCUCGGGAGACGCCUCUGCUUCUAAGCAGACCCAUCUCUUUUUAACACGCUCCUCACAAGGCCGUGGUCACCGUCACCUGGGAGCAAACCCCAUACCUGCAGAACUAUUCUUCAUCCACGUCUGCUACAAACUGAGAGUGGUGUUCGGGUGACUUGCUGUGCGUUUUGCUUAGGUGGAGUUUUACUGCGUGUUUGCUCACAAAUGUCCGACGGCAUAACUUACACUUGAAUUUAGAGUCUGUGUCCUCUUCGCCAGCUAUUGUUUCUGGAGACCUCUGAGCCGACGACACUCGGGAGAUCUCCUGCUCCACCUUGCUUUGCUGGUCAGCCGCCAUCCGGGUCAUGUCCUUCAUUUGGAAGCCCAGGUGAGACUCUAGGUGGCUGAUGUAGGUAGAGGGGGUUCUGAACUGGGACGCACAGUCACUGCAGUAAAAGAUGGGGUGCCCUUUGUCCAUGUUUUUCAGGAACUUUGUCCCACCUGUUUUCCUAAGCUGGUAUUUGACGUUAGCCAGCCAGUGGCUGAUUGUGGUCAUGGAGAGUCCGGUGAACUUGGAGAUUUGCAUCCGCUCUUGGGGGCCCAGGUCAGAAAGCAGGUAUUUGCCCUCUGAGGUCUGGAAGAGGCUCGAGGCAAACUGAGCUUGCAGGAUGAGAAGAUGCUGGGGGUUCCAGUUGGACUGCCGGCCUUUCCUUUUGUGCAAAGUGGAGACUUCGCUCGAAACAUCCUCGAAGCGUCUGACGUCGAUUUCCAGCUUCAUAGGAGGGACCCUCGAGGAGGCGGCUGGCUUUGGGGUGGUGGCUUUGGGGAGGACCUUGACCAUAUCAGCAAUGUCACACAGAGCAUGCUUCUGAGGUGGGGACGUGCAGGAUUGUGCUUGCGAGGACUCGGCUCUCUUGCUUUUGGACUUGGUCAGGUCAAUGGGCUGGUCGGUGUUCUCAAACAGGUAGUGUCUGGCCACGCUGGCCGCCGGCCUGGUGGAGGUGGGACUUAUGACCGGCUUGUCCACCACGUGGAGGCUGGAUUUAUGGAACACGGGGCUUGUGCUUGAGUUGGGACUGGAGCAGGAAGGGGAGCGCAAGGGCUCCGUGGCUUUGCCCAGGUGGUUGUUCAGGACGGACUGCAGGGCACUGAGCGGGUUGAUGGAAGGCAGAGCCGGGGUGUGGUUAGCCGGCGCACAGCCAUUGGUCAGAGAAGAUACUGGUUCUAAGGGCUCCGGUUUCUCUUUCUGCGGCUUCUCCUCNNNNNNNNNNNUCAGGGGACAGGGCUCAGCCUUUCUGGAUUCUGAAGGUGGUUCAAUUUUGGAGAAAGACUCGCCCUCAGGCUGACUGAAAGAUGUUGCCUCUUCGUGGGGACUUUCCUUCCCACACUGCUUCACGACUUCAUCUUUGUCUUCUGUCUCCUUCUUGACUUGAGUGUACAGAGCCAGGCUUGUGGGGACAGGGCCGAGUGGCAUACCUUUCCAUUUGGGUGCAAUGGGCCUCAGCUUGUUGGCGAGGUUGGGUCGGAUUUGCAGUAUCUGAGAGCCCAUUGCCAUAGGUGGCUUGGUGCCCUCUGAGAGCUGGUAGGCUGCGUGGAUACUUGGGUAUGCGCUCCAGCUGGGAGCACCAUUCUGGGCCUUGUUGAUGGCUGUGGUUACGGUAUUUUCCAGUGACUUUAAAAUGUCCCCACCACCCUUCGAGCCGUCUUCCAAGUCCUCCUCUCUUAGGUACUGGUAUUUUAUGGUGGGGUCGAGAGGUUUCUGUAGAGAGUCUUCGUAGUCCUCGCUUUUCACACCUUGUUCGUCUUCAAUGCCCUCUCCCUUCUCCUUCUUGCUUUCUUUCUUUAACUCGGUGGUAGAGGCUGUGCACUCCGAGGGGGAGUUACUUGAUGGCUUAGGGGCCAGAGACUCACUGUUUGGGGUCUCAGACAGUGACUGCAUUUUCUCCACAGCUAGGGGGUCCAACACAAGUUGCUUUCCUUUCUUGGAGGCAGAGCUAGUGACUUUGAGAAAGUGGCCUGUGACCAUCAUGUGGGUGGUGAGUUGUUGCAAAGUAUCAUGGGAACUGCCACACUCCAUACACUUUAAGAUCUGGGACUUGCAGGCCUCGAACUGCCAGGUGUAGCUGGCGCCGUUUUGGUAGCCGUAGCGGCUGUUGGAGGGCAGCUGCAGGUUAGCACUCUUCUGGGAAGAAAAGGAAUCUGCAAGGGACCCUGUGGUGGAGUCAGGGGAGCAAGGCCUGUUGACAUCGAAAACACGCUUCUUGGCUGGUGUGACCAUCUUGGAGGAAAUGGUUGGUACCGGCUCCUUCAAAGGCACUUUUUGGUAAUGUUUUGUCUUUAUCAUGUGGACACUCAAAUCUUGCAGGGAAUCGAAGGAGUCACCACAAAACAUACAUUUCAGGACCUUUUGGGCAUCCUCUUUGUCCAUGUCUUGGAAGGCCCUUUUUCGGGGCUUGGAGUAGCUCGUGGGUCUGAGCUUAUCUUUUUUGCGGUUGUCAUCUUGAUAGUGGCCUGUCUCGUUCAUGUGCACGGUCAGCUCCACGAGAGUGUCGUAGGCCGCACUGCACUGCCUGCAGCGGAACCUGCUGGCGCCGGUGAACACCGAGCCACACAACUUACUGCUCUGCCGGUAUAGCUGCACGGAGCUGAAUAGGCUGGGCUUAGAGACAGACCGGGAAGGCAAGUUCUGCUGCAGGCUUUUGGACAGGGCAUCUUGGUGCCAAUCAAAAUCAUUCUUGCCGCUGCUGUUGCGGGUGUCGCAAUUCCGUCUCUCACUGUUGGAUAACUUGAAGCCGAGGCCCAGGCCCGACCAGUAGGAAUCUGACAGGAUAUUGGCAUAGACAGCUGUCAUUUUAUCCAUGCAGUUAUGGGGUUCGCUUGGAAGUUUGGGGUGAGUGUUUGCUUUCUUGUCUGAAACAUCUCGGCCACAGACACUUUUGACGUCUGACACCUGGUCGCUGGCAUCGCUCAGGAGAGACUCGUUUUCUGCAUCCUGAUUGGACAGGUGGCUCCCCGGUGAGUUCUGGCAGCUGAAGUAGCCUUUCUGCUCUGGGCCCGUUUCUAGUUCCUCGUCUGUCCCAGUGUCAUUGCUGCUCUGGUGUUGAGCAACGGAGCCACUGUCUUCUUCUUCCUCCUCCUCUUCCUUUAUUUCCUCCUCUUCCUUCAGGACUUCCUCCUGGGCAUACCCUGCAGGAGACAGAGUUUCCUGUUCCAGUUUCCUCCUUGGCAUCGCUCUACUUAGCUCCAGUCUCACUUCUGGCGCCCCAGCCCCGAGCCGCGCGCGGGGGCCGCAGUCUCGCUCGUCUUUCUGUGGCUCCUAGGAC